GAAUCCAUAGGUUAAUGAGGCGAACCGGGGGAACUGAAACAUCUAAGUACCCCGAGGAAAAGAAAUCAACCGAGAUUCCCCCAGUAGCGGCGAGCGAACGGGGAGGAGCCCAGAGCCUGAAUCAGCAUGUGUGUUAGUGGAAGCGUCUGGAAAGGCGCGCGAUACAGGGUGACAGCCCCGUACACAAAAGCGCAUGUGCUGUGAGCUCGAUGAGUAGGGCGGGACACGUGGUAUCCUGUCUGAAUAUGGGGGGACCAUCCUCCAAGGCUAAAUACUCCUGACUGACCGAUAGUGAACCAGUACCGUGAGGGAAAGGCGAAAAGAACCCCGGCGAGGGGAGUGAAAAAGAACCUGAAACCGUGUACGUACAAGCAGUGGGAGCACCCUUUGGGUGUGACUGCGUACCUUUUGUAUAAUGGGUCAGCGACUUAUAUUCUGUAGCAAGGUUAACCGAAUAGGGGAGCCGGAGGGAAACCGAGUCUUAACCGGGCGUUAAGUUGCAGGGUAUAGACCCGAAACCCGGUGAUCUAGCCAUGGGCAGGUUGAAGGUUGGGUAACACUAACUGGAGGACCGAACCGACUAAUGUUGAAAAAUUAGCGGAUGACCUGUGGCUGGGGGUGAAAGGCCAAUCAAACCGGGAGAUAGCUGGUUCUCCCCGAAAGCUAUUUAGGUAGCGCCUCGUGAAUUCAUCUCCGGGGGUAGAGCACUGUUUCGGCUAGGGGGCCAUCCCGGCUUACCAACCCGAUGCAAACUGCGAAUACCGGAGAAUGUUAUCACGGGAGACACACGGCGGGUGCUAACGUCCGUCGUGAAGAGGGAAACAACCCAGACCGCCAGCUAAGGUCCCAAAGUCAUGGUUAAGUGGGAAACGAUGUGGGAAGGCCCAGACAGCCAGGAUGUUGGCUUAGAAGCAGCCAUCAUUUAAAGAAAGCGUAAUAGCUCACUGGUCGAGUCGGCCUGCGCGGAAGAUGUAACGGGGCUAAACCAUGCACCGAAGCUGCGGCAGCGACACUGUGUGUUGUUGGGUAGGGGAGCGUUCUGUAAGCCUGUGAAGGUGUGUCGUGAGGC
rnacentral:rRNA from 1 species